GUGAGUAGAUUAUAGACUAUCCUAAGACUGACUAUCCUAUUCCUGACUCCCCCAAAUGUAGUAGAAAUAGUAGUAGUAGUAGAAAUUUUAUUAUUAUUAUUAUUAUUAUUAUUAUUAUUAUUAUUAUUUCUGUGUGCGUAUAUUGAGUUCACGAGCGUAUUUUUAAAGUCAUGUGCGUAUUUGAUUUAUCCUAUGUGCGUUUUUGCCUCCCGUGUGCGUAUUCCUGACCCCAUGUGCGUAUGAUCAUUACGUAUUUCUGUGUGCGUAUUUUGAGUUCACGAGCGUAUUUUUUAAAGUCAUGUGCGUAUUCGAUUUAUCCUAUGUGCGUUUUUUCCUCCCGUGUGCGUAUUUUUGACCCCAUGUGCGUAUUUUCAGAAUGUCGUGUGCGGAAUCAUCAUGUUCAUCAAGUGGGUGAUUCCAGACAUGCCUUUCCACCUACAGGAGCAGAUCAGAAGGGAGGCUUAUGUCACCAAUGAGAUUAUAGUAGAACAGGAACUUAGAAGAGCCAGGAAAAGCCUAUUCACUACUACUACUACUACUACUACUACUACUAAUGGGGGGUCUACUACUACUACUCCCACUGUGCCUGCAAGAACAAGAAGAAGAAGAAGAGGAAGAUCGUGGGGAGGAGAGGAGGUGUAGGAGGAGGAGGAGGAGGAAGAAGAGGAGGAGGAGGAGGAGGAGGAAGAAGUUGUUUGAUAUGAUUUGGGAAUUUUAUUGAUUAUUUUUUAUUCUCUCGCUCUCUCUCGCUCGCUCUCUCUUGCUCUCUCUCUCUCUCGAACAGCUUAUUUUUUUCUUUCAAUAUUUAGCUAUUUCUCUCUCUCUCUUGCUCUCUCUCUCUCUAACUCGCUCUAAUUUCCUCUCUCUCUCUAACUCGCUCUAAUUUCCUCUCUCUAACUCGCUCUAAUUUCCUCUCUCUCAAACUGUAACUAUAGUAUUUCACUCUCUCUCUCUCGCUCGCUCUCUCUCUCUCUCUCUCUCUCUCUCUCUCUCUCUCUCUCUCUCUCUCUCUCUCUCUCUCUCUUAAUUAGUUGUGUUCAAUGUCCAAAACUACUUAAGAAAUUGCUUUAUAUAUUAUUAUUAUUAUUAUUAUUUUUACUAUUGAUACUAUUUUAACUAUUUCACUAUUAAUACUAUCACCACGAGAAUUAGGAGAUACUUAAACCCACUAUUCGACACCCCACAACUACUACUUCUACUACUACUACUACUACUACUACUACUACUACUACUACUACUACUAUUGCAGCUACUAUCCAUUGGCAUUGUGUGCUUAUCCUUGUGUGAUAUGCUUGUACCCUGACUAUUAUGAUGAGCUUUAAAAAUGGUGCAAAAAAAACUAUCAUUACUACUACUACUAUUACUACUUCUACUACUACUACUACUACUACUAUUACUAUUACUAUUUUUUGCACAACGAACUAUUUUAUGAUAUUAUUAAGUUGAUAUUAUUAUUAUUAUUAUUGCAUUACUAUUUCUACUACAACUACUACUACUACUACUACUACUACUACUACUACUAUUUCUACUAUUUUCUUUAUUAUUAGUAUUAGUAUUACUAUGAUAAUGAUUUCAGUAUUACAAGAUCUGUUACCACUACUACUACUACUACUACUACUACUACUACUACUUCUUUCUACUACUACUACUACUUCUACUAUUAUAAGUGCAAUGCUUAAGUCAGCUGGUGCUAUCCUCAGAGUCACUUAUAAAUAGUCACUACUACUACUUAAAGACUACUUAAAUGAACAUUGCCUUGCAGCUAGUACACUAUUUUUUACUAUUAUAAGGAUAGUUUGAUGUGGAAGGAAGGGCCUUAUCAAUGUUGCUGCUUUGCUACUAUUACUAUUAGUACUAUUAGACUACUAUGACUAUUACUACGAGAAUUACCACCUACUUAAAUGUACUUUUCACCACCCCACAACCCCAACUUUGACUAUCCACCCCUACUACUAUUACUACUACUACUACUACUAUGACCCAAACCACUACUACCACUGUCUUUACCACCUACUUAAACCCACUAUUUCUCACCCAACAACCCUGUCUACUACAAUCCACUUACUACCACUACUACUUAUAAAACUACUACUAUGACCCAAACCACUACAACCACAGUCUUUACCACCUACUUAAACCCAAUAUUCCUCACCCAACAACCCUGGCUACUACAAUCCACUUACUACCACAACUACUUAUAAAACUACUACUAUGACCCAAACCACUACAACCACAGUCUUUACCACAUACUUAAACCCAAUAUUCCUCACCCAACAACCCUGGCUACUACAAUCCACUUACUACCACUACUACUUAUAAAACUACUACUACUACUACUACUACAACGACCCAAAUCACUACUACCACGGUCUUUACCACCUACUUAAACCCACUAUUCCUCACCCAACAACCCUGUCUACUUCAAUCCUACUACCACUACUACUUAUAAAACUACUACUACUACUACUGCUACUAUUACUACUAUCGAAAAGUUGAAGUGUAAGUCAAAUUUUUUAUAUAUUUUAAAGAAUCGCCGCUCGUCGCUUGAAGUGUACUUAAAAAUGCUACUUGUAAAUGUUGUAUGUACUUAGAAUAUGGUACUUAAAUUACUACUACUACUACGAGAAUUACCACCUACUUAAACCCACUAUUCCUCACCCAACAACCCUUACUACUACAAUCCACCUACUACUACUACUACUACUACUACUAUCUCACUUGAUUGGAUUAUUGAUUGUAAAGAAAAUGAAUAAAAAUUGUAAUAAUAGUUCGUGAUA